rfam:Nannochloropsis gaditana mitochondrion, complete genome.
ACUCGUUUGGUGGAAUUGGUAGACACGACAGACUUAAAAUCUGUUUCCUUUAGGAUUACCGGUUCAAUUCCGGUAAUGAGUA